rnacentral:rRNA from 1 species
AGGGUUUGAUCAUGGCUCAGAGUGAACGCUGGCGGCGUGCUUAACACAUGCAAGUCGAACGAGAACGGAACUAGCUUGCUAGUUUGUCAGCUAAGUGGCGGACGGGUGAGUAAUGUAUAGUUAAUCUGCCCUUUAGAGAGGAAUAACUACUGGAAACGGUAGCUAAUACCUCAUACUCCUUCUAUCUUAAUGGUAGUUGGGAAAUGUUUUUUCGCUAAAGGAUGAGACUAUAUGGUAUCAGGUAGUUGGUGGGGUAAGAGCCUACCAAGCCAAUGACGCCUAGCUGGUCUGAGAGGAUGAUCAGCCACACUGGAACUGAGACACGGUCCAGACUCCUACGGGAGGCAGCAGUGGGGAAUAUUGCACAAUGGAGGAAACUCUGAUGCAGCAACGCCGCGUGGAGGAUGACGCAUUUCGGUGUGUAAACUCCUUUUAUAUGGGAAGAUAAUGACGGUACCAUAUGAAUAAGCACCGGCUAACUCCGUGCCAGCC